CGGGAAGAGCUCAAAUUUGAAAGCUGGCAGUAAUGUCCGCGUUGUAAUCUCGAGAAGUGUUUUCCGUGCUGGACCAUGGACAAGUUCCCUGGAAUGGGAUGUCAUAGAGGGUGAGAACCCCGUACUUGCUGUGGACGCCCAGUGCUUUGUGAUACACUUUC
rnacentral:rRNA from 1 species